rnacentral:misc_RNA from 1 species
UUUCCGUAGGUGAACCUGCGGAAGGAUCAUUAAUAAAUGGUCUACGUUCUUUAAGUAGACGCUUAAUAAUCCUACCCUUUGUGAAUUUGUUUGUUUUGAAAUAAUUUUUUUUAAAAUUAUUGAAUGUCUUUCCCUGUUGAAUUGGUUGUCUUAGUGGCAAGUGAUUCGCAGGGGAGUGUCAAUAAUUUUUAAAAAGACCUUUUUUUAAAUUAAACUUUUUGUAUUCAUUUGUCUAAAAUUAUUUUUAUAAUAUAAAAACAACUUUUGACAAUGGAUCUCUUGGUUCUCGCAACGAUGAAGAACGCAGCAAAAUGCGAUAAGUAGUGUGAAUUGCAGAAUACGUGAAUCAUCGAAUCUUCGAACGCAUAUUGCACUUUUUUAGUUUACUAAAAAGUGAUGUCUGUUUGAGUAUCAGUAAAAUAUUCUCAUAAAAAACAUUGUUUUUUUAUGGUUAUGAGUGUUUUACAACGAUACAAGUUGUUUCACUUUUAAAUUUUUUUAAAAUUUGAAUUUUUCUAAUUUUAAAAUAAAAUUGGAUAAAAUUUUCCCGUAAAAAAGGAAUAACCUAAACAAUUUUAGUUUUUUGAUUAGAAUUUUUCAUUAUAAAGGAAAAUUUAAUAAAUAACUUGAUCUCAAAUCAGAUAAGAGUACCCGCUGAACUUAAGCAUAUCAAUAAGCGGAGGAAAAGAAACUAACAAGGAUUCCCUUAGUAACGGCGAGUGAAGCGGGAAGAGCUCAAAUUUGAAAUCUUCAAGGUUCUACCUUGACGAAUUGUAGUUUAAGAAGUGUUUCUGUUAGAUGAGUAGAAAAGUUCUUGGAAUGGACAUCAUAGAGGGUGAGAAUCCCGUAUUUGGUUAUUCAUUCUAGCUUUGUGAUACACUUUCAAAGAGUCGGAUCGUUUGGGAAUGCAGUCCAAAAUGGGUGGUAAAUUUCAUCUAAAGCUAAAUAUUGGCGAGAGACCGAUAGCGAACAAGUACCGUGAGGGAAAGAUGAAAAGAACUUUGAAAAGAGAGUUAAACAGUACGUGAAAUUGUCAAAAGGGAAGCGUUUGACACCAGUGUUGUUUUCUCGAAAAUCAAUUAAAAAAAGUUGGAUUUUGUGUUGUAUUGACCUUAACAGCUGCUUCACUCUUUUCCUGCUUUUUUUAAUGCACUUUUCGUUUAACAAGUCAACAUCAGUUUCUUUUGUUGUAAAAGGGUCAUUGGAAGGUGGCUUUCUCUUCGGAGAAAGUGUUUAUAGCCUUUGAUCUCUGCAAUCGGAGAGACUGAGGUCUGCAGCGUAGAUCCUUCGGGGUUAGAUACAUUUGUGCUAAGCUACAGCUUUUCAUAGACAACUUGUUGACUAUGUUUAGUCUUGUGACUUACCCGCUGAUGCUAUUUUACCUACGCUUAGGAUGUUG